GACGAACGCUGGCGGCGUGCCUAAUACAUGCAAGUCGAACGCUUCUUUUUCCACCGGAGCUUGCUCCACCGGAAAAAGAGGAGUGGCGAACGGGUGAGUAACACGUGGGUAACCUGCCCAUCAGAAGGGGAUAACACUUGGAAACAGGUGCUAAUACCGUAUAACAAUCGAAACCGCAUGGUUUUGAUUUGAAAGGCGCUUUCGGGUGUCGCUGAUGGAUGGACCCGCGGUGCAUUAGCUAGUUGGUGAGGUAACGGCUCACCAAGGCCACGAUGCAUAGCCGACCUGAGAGGGUGAUCGGCCACAUUGGGACUGAGACACGGCCCAAGCACCUACGGGAGGCAGCAGUAGGUAAUCUUCGGCAAUGGACGAAAGUCUGACCGAGCAACGCCGCGUGAGUGAAGAAGGUUUUCGGAUCGUAAAACUCUGUUGUUAGAGAAGAACAAGGAUGAGAGUAACUGUUCAUCCCUUGACGGUAUCUAACCAGAAAGCCACGGCUAACUACGUGCCAGCCGCCGCCGUAA
rnacentral:rRNA from 1 species